UACGUAGGGUGCAAGCGUUAAUCGGAAUUACUGGGCGUAAAGCGUGCGCAGGCGGCUUUGCAAGACAGAUGUGAAAUCCCCGGGCUUAACCUGGGAACUGCAUUUGUGACUGCAUGGCUGGAGUGCGGCAGAGGGGGAUGGAAUUCCGCGUGUAGCAGUGAAAUGCGUAGAUAUGCGGAGGAACACCGAUGGCGAAGGCAUCCCCUGGGCCUGCACUGACGCUCAUGCACGAAAGCGUGGGGAG
rnacentral:rRNA from 1 species